rnacentral:rRNA from 1 species
UAGGGCGGGACACGUGGUAUCCUGUCUGAAUAUGGGGGGACCAUCCUCCAAGGCUAAAUACUCCUGACUGACCGAUAGUGAACCAGUACCGUGAGGGAAAGGCGAAAAGAACCCCGGCGAGGGGAGUGAAAAAGAACCUGAAACCGUGUACGUACAAGCAGUGGGAGCCUCUUAAUGGGGUGACUGCGUACCUUUUGUAUAAUGGGUCAGCGACUUAUAUUCUGUAGCAAGGUUAACCGAAUAGGGGAGCCGAAGGGAAACCGAGUCUUAACUGGGCGUUAAGUUGCAGGGUAUAGACCCGAAACCCGGUGAUCUAGCCAUGGGCAGGUUGAAGGUUGGGUAACACUAACUGGAGGACCGAACCGACUAAUGUUGAAAAAUUAGCGGAUGACUUGUGGCUGGGGGUGAAAGGCCAAUCAAACCGGGAGAUAGCUGGUUCUCCCCGAAAGCUAUUUAGGUAGCGCCUCGUGAAUUCAUCUCCGGGGGUAGAGCACUGUUUCGGCAAGGGGGUCAUCCCGACUUACCAACCCGAUGCAAACUGCGAAUACCGGAGAAUGUUAUCACGGGAGACACACGGCGGGUGCUAACGUCCGUCGUGAAGAGGGAAACAACCCAGACCGCCAGCUAAGGUCCCAAAGUCAUGGUUAAGUGGGAAACGAUGUGGGAAGGCCCAGACAGCCAGGAUGUUGGCUUAGAAGCAGCCAUCAUUUAAAGAAAGCGUAAUAGCUCACUGGUCGAGUCGGCCUGCGCGGAAGAUGUAACGGGGCUAAACCAUGCACCGAAGCUGCGGCAGCGACACUAUGUGUUGUUGGGUAGGGGAGCG